UUGCUUCUUAUGAAACACGGAAAGGUCAGCAGGAAAAACAGGAUGUUUGCUGUGAAAACUCUCGUUCUAUGCUAAUUUCCUGGAGUUCUUAGGGGGCGACAUGAUCAAAUGCAGAGGUCAUCGACCGUUUGGAAAUGGGAGAGCUUCUACAAAAUGUGAAGGGCUACCAGUUUCUUACGCAUUUCUGAGAAUCAACGCUGGGGCGUUAGACAUGACUCAAAACGGGCCCGAAAGAUCCAGAUGGAAGAGCCAAGCGACACACCUCUCGCAGGCGAGAUGGGUCGAAUCACCUCCACGCAAGCGCCGUUCUUCUCACCGGGGACAAACUGGGCGUGACAAAGACAAAGCGUUGGUCGGGCCCACAAGAGAUGCGCAGAUAGACAGAUGGCAGGGACAAUAAAAUCUGAUGCUCAACGUUUAGAAGUAAUCAA